UCCUGAUAGCUCAGAUGGUAAAGAGUCUGCCUGCAAUGCAGGAAACCCAAGGUCAAUCCCUGGAUCGGGAA
rnacentral:tRNA from 1 species